rnacentral:lncRNA from 1 species
CGAGGCGCGCACCACGCGGCCCCUUCCUCCAGGCAUUCGCACCACCCCCCACUCCCGUUGCAUGCUGGGAUUGUAGUUGAUCGCCUGCGAUCAACGGCCGGAAGCGGCUAAAACUACUCCUGCCUGCAUACCCCGCAGGAGCAAACCGCGCCAUGUCUCCCUCCAGGGAUCCGCACCGCUCACAAUCCUGUUUAGUGCUGGGAUUGUAGUCCUGCGAGCCUACGACUAAUAGCUGGAUUAACUCUUAAGUACUCCACAACUACACGCUUUUGAAACUGGCGUUGGCAUAGCGUUAGUUCUGUGCAGGGCGGACGCAGCAGGACAGAAUCUCCCUGGGCAUCUUUUCGGAGCAUCAAUUUUACUGCAAAAUUUUGAAAAAACAAAUUUAAUUGAUUUCCAAGGAGCUUCUGUCACUGCAGAACCAGGGUCACCUGUGGAAAAUCCUUGCUGAAGCCAUCUCCCUGUCUGCCUGUCCCUCAGGCCCAGGAGUCAUGAGUCCUUUCUCCAAUAAGUCAUUCAGUUGGCUGGCAGCAAACCCUGGUUUGUCAAGGAGGACAGAAACUCAGAGCACCCUGCACUUGGGGAUCGGCACUAGGAGCUGCUCUCUGGAUGGGGAGAUGGGAGCUAGCAGCUCACAAUGGGGUCACAAGACAUCUGAAAAUACUCAGAAGUUACAAGAAUUCAUAAAAUACCCACCAAAGCUAAUAGAAAACAUGGAACCUUCCAGGACAAGAAGUAAAUUAAAAGAACAACCCAGAGGAGUAAUCAAAGUGAGAAGCCAGUGCCGCCUCCAGGUACUGGAUGAUCACAGGGACCUCAGGCUUUGGGGAUUAUUCAACUACCUUCUUGGAAUAAACAACAAAAAAAGUAC